rnacentral:rRNA from 1 species
GAUGAACGCUGGCGGCGUGCCUAAUACAUGCAAGUCGAGAGAACGGACGAGAAGCUUGCUUCUCUGAUGUUAGCGGCGGUCGGGUGAGUAACACGUGGAUAACCUACCUAUAAGACUGGGAUAACUUCGGGAAACCGGAGCUAAUACCGGAUGAUAUUUUGAACCGCAUGGUUCAAAAGUGAAAGACGGUCUUGCUGUCACUUAUAGAUGGAUCCGCGCUGCAUUAGCUAGUUGGUAAGGUAACGGCUUACCAAGGCAACGAUGCAUAGCCGACCUGAGAGGGUGAUCGGCCACACUGGAACUGAGACACGGUCCAGACUCCUACGGGAGGCAGCAGUAGGGAAUCUUCCGCAAUGGGCGAAAGCCUGACGGAGCAACGCCGCGUGAGUGAUGAAGGUCUUCGGAUCGUAAAACUCUGUUAUUAGGGAAGAACAUAUGUGUAAGUAACUGUGCACAUCUUGACGGUACCUAAUCAGAAAGCCACGGCUAACUACGUG